CCUACGGGUGACAGCAGUGAGGAAUAUUGGUCAAUGGGCGCGACCCUGAACCAGCCAAGUAGCGUGAAGGAUGACUGCCCUACGGGUUGUAAACUUCUUUUAUAAAGGAAUAAAGUGAGGCACGUGUGCCUUUUUGUAUGUACUUUAUGAAUACGGCUCGGCUAACUCCGUGCCAGCAGCCGCGGUAAUACGGAGGAUCCGAGCGUUAUCCGGAUUUAUUGGGUUUAAAGGGAGCGUAGUUGGGUUGUUAAGUCAGAUGUGAAAGUUUGCGGCUCAACCGUAAAAUUGCAAUGGAAACUGGCAGGCGUGAGUGCAGGUGAGGUAGGCGGAAUUCGUGGUGUAGCGGUUAAAUGCUUAGAUAUCACGAAGAACUCCGAUUGCGAAGGCAGCUUACUAAACUGCCACUGACAUUGAUGCUCGAAAGUGUGCGUAGCAAACAGGAUUAGAUAUCCGUGUAGUC
rnacentral:rRNA from 1 species